GUCUUGCGCGGGCGCAUUUCAAGCGAUUUCCCCGCGACGUACACGUCUCUUGUUUAUCUCGCGGACUUUGGCAGGAUGCAACGAAAACACUGCGCGCACGUUGCUCAACGGCCCAGUCUCCGAACAAUUAAACGCGAAAUUUAUCGCGUGGCGCUUUUCGCUGACGGCGAAAAUUUGAUCCAACCCGCGAGGACAUACCUAAUCGCUAUUUAACAAGCGACUUCUCUCGAACCGCCGCGAUUUUAUCGCGUGCUUCUCAAAACUCGAUUCCCCUUAUACUUUUCAUUUCGUUAACGAGCUCGGCGCUCCUCGUUUCAAGAGCACACGCGCGUACAAUUGCACGAUCGACUUUGUCUUUCGAGAGAGAGAAAAGCGAACACUUAGCCAAGUGCAUUUCAUUGUCGCUGGGAACUACGGUUCGCCAUCGAAAUCAAUUUUGUCGCUAAAACAACGAAAUGAGCAGGCGCGUCGAUCUGUCGCGCGCGUGUGCAGGGCCUCGACCCAUUUAGCGAAUCUUCGUUUUCUGAAAUUUUCCUCGAUCGCUAAGUUUAGCCGUUUUCCGCGAGGCACCUUUCGCGCAGACACGCGCGCGUUAUCAAAACAAAAAUGGAUCGAGUAAGAGAAUCGACAGUUGCCGAAAUGUUCGUCAGGAGGGAAUAGUCGUGGAUGGUGAUCACCAACAGCAAACCGGAGAGCUCUUUCCGUAGGUGUACGCACAAGAAGAUAAACUAUCCGCGCACUUCCGACAUGUUACCUUCGAGGAGCGGAAGAACGAUAUGCGACGCGACGCUCAGGACGCGGAGGAAAACUGUGCGAAAGCCAAUUUUCUUGCGACAAUAUAGCGAACGUCGUGUUGCAGUCGUUAAGUAUUAUCAUUGCAACUAUCCCCGUUGACAAAUGACCGCUGGCAAGUAUUUUCGACGCCUAUAUUGAGCAAGCCGCACACGCGCGCGUUUUAUAAAUGAAAAUUCGUUUGAAUGUACCUUACAGUGGCGCUGACAAUAAAAAAGAAAUCACAAUAAAGUCACCCCAUCAAAGAGAGAAGAAGAAAGGAACGUGAAAAACAAUAAUAAACGAAGAAGACACAAGCGACAUCGCAUGGAGAGGAAGAUGAGUCAGCGGACGCAAACAAAAAAGGACCUUACACUGUCUCUCUCUCACAAAAGAGACGCGAAUCUUGCUACGUGCUCCGAAUGCGUCUGUACUUCUUUUUUUCCUUCUUUUUUUCGGGAAAAUUUUCGAAAACAUGAAAUCUAUUUUUUUCUUCGUUACGACUUACAGCUUAGAAAGUACAAAUACUCUAGAGCCAUGCACACAAGUUUGCUGAACUUGAUUGAAAAGUUGGGAGAUUGGAUGUGUUUUUUAUACUCUUUAGCGCAUGCAUAAUUAAUUCCACAGGUGAACAAAAUUUUUUCUUUUAAUGUCAGCGUUGAAUGUAAACAGGAAGCUAGUUUUUUAAUACAAAAGGUUGCAUCAAGAUUGUAAUUUUCAAAGGAAAAAAUUUACAAAUAGCAAUGUUAAAUUUAGUUGUUUACUAGAACUUGAAAUUAAAAAAAGAAUAAAAUCAGGUCUAAAAAUAUUCGAGUAAAUUCCAAGAGUCAGGAGACAGAGAACAGCAGUAUAUACAGAAGGUUGUCCACAAAUUGGGAUUGUCAUGCAUUUUCAAAUUCAAGACACAUACUACACACGUACAUACCUUGAAAACCUCAGAGAAAAAGCCAGCACCAAUUUUCUCAAGGUAGAAGUCAUCAAGUCGAUGCAAGGAUGCCACAGCAUGCCUAAGAGCUUGACAUGAGGCACCAGUACGUCUUUUGUCCUGUAUACACUCUCCUGUAUAAUUGAGCCCACUCAGACCAUUGUCAAGUUCGAUGGUGUAGAAGUACUAAAAUCAUGAGGCAUAAUCAUCUCUGACUUUUGAUUUUUCCUUGGUGGCUCUAGUCUGGAAUCUGACAAAAGACAAGCAUCCACCUCAUCCACAUCAGUAUUGUUUAAU